rnacentral:rRNA from 1 species
GAUGAACGCUGGCGGCGUGCCUAAUACAUGCAAGUCGAGCGAACAGAUGAGGAGCUUGCUCCUCUGACGUUAGCGGCGGACGGGUGAGUAACACGUGGAUAACCUACCUAUAAGACUGGGAUAACUUCGGGAAACCGGAGCUAAUACCGGAUAAUAUAUUGAACCGCAUGGUUCAAUAGUGAAAGACGGUUUUGCUGUCACUUAUAGAUGGAUCCGCGCCGCAUUAGUUAGUUGGUAAGGUAACGGCUUACCAAGGCAACGAUGCGUAGCCGACCUGAGAGGGGGAUCGGCCACACUGGAACUGAGACACGGCCCAGACUCCUACGGGAGGCAGCAGUAGGGAAUCUUCCGCAAUGGGCGAAAGCCUGACGGAGCAACGCCGCGUGAGUGAUGAAGGUCUUCGGAUCGUAAACCUCUGUUAUUAGGGAAGAACAAAUGUGUAAGUAACUAUGCACGUCUUGACGGUACCUAAUCAGAAAGCCACGGCUAACUACGUG